rnacentral:lncRNA from 1 species
AUAGUAAUAAGAUUUAAUUAAAUAUAUGAUUAUAAUAAUAUAUACAGUAUAUGUAUACAAUGACAAAGAAACUAGGCUUAACAUCAAGAGGUGCAAGAUAUAUGAAAUACCGUUAAUCGAUUCUGUGGGGUGCCUGUCUGAGAUCAUCGGGUGAACAGUAACAGGCAUCAGGCACUUACUGCAGUUGCAUAGCACGUUUGUGAGUAAGGAUGAGUAAAGAGGCAAUACUCGGUGAAUCAGAGACUACAGUCUUGACAACAUUAAGCUUCCAUCUAUUUAGUCAAUAAGAGAGUCCUUUACAUAGAGUCCCCGACAAUUAAGAGAGGAAAUAUCUUGUAAAAGAAAGUCCAAAUAAAAGUUCUGAUUCACACUAUGAAAAUAUGAUGGAGGAAGGAUAAACUCUAGUAACUUGUCUGGAUAAAAGAUGGUAGAAUGGAGAAGGCAAAGAGGACGAUCAGAUAACUGAGAACAAUGAUGAGGUUCUCCUUCAAAAGGACGAUAGAUCUCUCCUUUUAUUUUUUUUCUUCGACCAUCAGUUCCCUUUUCUUUUUCUGUUCGCUGUUUCCUUCUCCGACCAUCAUUUUAUUACUGAUGACAGUUCCUUAUCUGAUCUUCAUUUUAUCACCAACAACAGUUCCUUCCCUCACAAUACACAUUUGUACAGACAGUGUAUACAUAUUUGAAUAAAACAGAAAAAUUAUGGUAAAAAUUAAAAAUAAAAAAAUAUUGUAUAUUGUCAAUAAAAUUAUACAGUUUUAGUAUAAU